UACGUAGGGUGCGAGCGUUAAUCGGAAUUACUGGGCGUAAAGCGUGCGCAGGCGGUUGUGUAAGGCAGGUGUGAAAUCCACGGGCUCAACCUGGGAACUGCAUUUGUGACUGCACAGCUGGAGUGCGGCAGAGGGGGAUGGAAUUCCGCGUGUAGCAGUGAAAUGCGUAGAUAUGCGGAGGAACACCGAUGGCGAAGGCAAUCCCCUGGGCCUGCACUGAGGCUCAUGCACGAAAGCGUGGGGAGCAAACAGG
rnacentral:rRNA from 1 species